AUUAUACUCCCUCCGUUGCACAAUACAUGCCUUCUAUUUGUCAAAAUAUAUAUGUAUCUAGACAUGUUUUAGUAUAUAGGUACAUCCAUUUUUGGACAAAUCGAAGUCAAGUAUUUUGGAACGGAGGGAGUACACA
rnacentral:pre_miRNA from 1 species